GAUGAACGCUGGCGGCGUGCCUAAUACAUGCGAGUCGAGCGAACAGACGAGGAGCUUGCUCCUCUGACGUUAGCGGCGGACGGGUGAGUAACACGUGGAUAACCUACCUAUAAGACUGGGAUAACUUCGGGAAACCGGAGCUAAUACCGGAUAAUAUAUUGAACCGCAUGGUUCAAUAGUGAAAGACGGUUUUACUGUCACUUAUAGAUGGAUCCGCGCCGCAUUAGCUAGUUGGUAAGGUAACGGCUUACCAAGGCAACGAUGCGUAGCCGACCUGAGAGGGUGAUCGGCCACACUGGAACUGAGACACGGUCCAGACUCCUACGGGAGGCAGCAGUAGGGAAUCUUCCGCAAUGGGCGAAAGCCUGACGGAGCAACGCCGCGUGAGUGAUGAAGGUCUUCGGAUCGUAAAACUCUGUUAUUAGGGAAGAACAAAUGUGUAAGUAACUAUGCACGUCUUGACGGUACCUAAUCAGAAAGCCACGGCUAACUACGUG
rnacentral:rRNA from 1 species